UGGGGAAUUUUGGACAAUGGGGGAAACCCUGAUCCAGCCAUCCCGCGUGUGCGAUGAAGGCCUUCGGGUUGUAAAGCACUUUUGGCAGGAAAGAAACGUCGCGGGUUAAUACCCCGCGAAACUGACGGUACCUGCAGAAUAAGCACCGGCUAACUACGUGCCAGCAGCCGCGGUAAUACGUAGAGUGCAAGCGUUAAUCGGAAUUACUGGGCGUAAAGCGUGCGCAGGCGGUUCGGAAAGAAAGAUGUGAAAUCCCAGAGCUUAACUUUGGAACUGCAUUUUUAACUACCGGGCUAGAGUGUGUCAGAGGGAGGUGGAAUUCCGCGUGUAGCAGUGAAAUGCGUAGAUAUGCGGAGGAACACCGAUGGCGAAGGCAGCCUCCUGGGAUAACACUGACGCUCAUGCACGAAAGCGUGGGGAGCAAACAGGAUUAGAUACCCUGGUAGUCCACGCCCUAAACGAUGUCAACUAGCUGUUGGGGCCUUCGGGCCUUGGUAGCGCAGCUAACGCGUGAAGUUGACCGCCUGGGGAGUACGGUCGCAAGAUUAAAACUCAAAUGAAUUGACGGGGUCAUAGCUGUUUCCUG
rnacentral:rRNA from 1 species